rnacentral:rRNA from 1 species
UACGUAGGGUGCGAGCGUUAAUCGGAAUUACUGGGCGUAAAGCGUGCGCAGGCGGUUUUGUAAGCCAGAUGUGAAAUCCCCGGGCUUAACCUGGGAAUGGCAUUUGGGACUGCAAGGCUGGAGUACGGCAGAGGAGACUGGAAUUCCUGGUGUAGCAGUGAAAUGCGUAGAGAUCAGGAGGAAUACCGAUGGCGAAGGCAUGUCUCUGGGCUGAUACUGACGCUCAUGCACGAAAGCGUGGGGAGCAAACAGG